AUGCGCGCCGUAGUCGCGUCGCUGCUGCUCCGCGGUCGCGACGCCUCUCUGUCUCUUUCGCGUACACACUGCCGCUCCCUGCUGAAGCUCGCGCGCUUUCUCUCUCUCUCUCUCUCGGGAUCCGCCGUCUCCUUCUAUCCGCCGCGGCGCGCGCGACGCGACGAUACCUCGUUGAGUCUAUCCUCUUCUGUCUUCCUCGUUCCGCGUUCUCUUCCUCCUUCGUACGCGCGCGUUUACUUUUCGAACCCGGCCGGCCGAGCGGCGAAAUAUAAUUCGAGAUUGUUGCGUGUAUAAUCGCGUAUGUGUGUGUGUGUGGGUCUGCGCCCCGGCGAAUUUUGCGAGAAUCGUACGAAGAUUUCAUGCCUACAACUUCGACUAGAUUUGGAUACGCAGUUUUCAACAAUUAUGGUGCAUUCACGAUUGUGACAGAGAUAUUUAUGCACAGGAAAUUGCAGCUCAUAUCCAAAGUGCCGAGCGAAUAAUUUUCGUGUUAUUUUCCGUCGAAUUAAUAAUAAAAUAUGCGUUACAUGCAAAUAAUCUACGUCGGGAGUGCCGUACAAAGUGCCGUGCGAUUUGUUGAUUUUUAUACGUGAUUAUAAUUAAAUGUUUUCGCGAGUAAGUGCUACAAAGAAGGAUGACCAACAAUAAAAGAGGAGGAGGAAGCCCGAGGAGGCAUCGGACAAUAGCGGAGCAACCGUGAGAUCAGUAUGCAGAUCAAUUACAACUCCGCUGCUGUGCAUCGUACCGCUCUCUGAUUCUCAGCAGCAGAUCGACGAACCAAGCAGUUAGGCCCGACAAAGACGGAUAAGCCCUGCUGGCCCAAACAGGCGGAACUUGAUCGAAGAACAGCGCGUUCUCCAAGUCCUCCAUGUCUGAUGUUAUGAUAUCCUCAAAUAUAUGCUUACCCUAUCGAUCGAUGUAUCAUCUACUUGAAGAUCUCUUAACCAAUUGACAAGAGCCAUAUCUGGAUGCAAAGUAGUACUGUUAUGUGUAUCGGUCGAGGACGUUGAUUGUUGAAAUAGAUUUGGCAAGAUGCAAGAAUUAUAACUGCGACACAAAUUAUUUAUAUAUAUAUAUAUAUAUUAAAAAUAUAUUUUAUAACAAACCGCACAUAAUGUCAAUGUAUAGUUUAUGUUGCAGCAAUAAAUAAAAUAAUGUGUUUCGUACCCCGAUUCCUGUCUCGUUGUUCUUCUAUUAAUAUUUUCACACAGAUGCGUCAAUGUAUUAACUUGGAGUCUCUGCUCUUCGAGGGCCUGCUGUAAUAACGUCUGAUACGUUUUUUGACUUUCU